rnacentral:rRNA from 1 species
GGAUCAAUUUAUUGGUCGUGCUAUUGUACGUACUGGUAUUAUUGAUUCCUACCUUCUGACGAACCAUGAUGUCAUUAAUUUGAUGUCGUGGAGAAUCAGGACUGUUACUUUGAAAAAAUUAGAGUGUUUAAAGCAGGCAUUAGCUUGAAUACAUUAGCAUGGAAUAAUGAAAUAGGACGUUUGAUCCUAUUUUGUUGGUUUCUAGGAUUGACGUA